rnacentral:rRNA from 1 species
GACGAACGCUGGCGGCGUGCUUAACACAUGCAAGUCGAACGGAAAGGCCCUGCUUUUGUGGGGUGCUCGAGUGGCGAACGGGUGAGUAACACGUGAGUAACCUGCCCUUGACUUUGGGAUAACUUCAGGAAACUGGGGCUAAUACCGGAUAGGAGCUCCUGCUGCACGGUGGGGGUUGGAAAGUUUCGGCGGUUGGGGAUGGACUCGCGGCUUAUCAGCUUGUUGGUGGGGUAGUGGCUUACCAAGGCUUUGACGGGUAGCCGGCCUGAGAGGAUGACCGGCCACAUUGGGACUGAGAUACGGCCCAGACUCCUACGGGAGGCAGCAGUGGGGAAUAUUGCACAAUGGGCGGAAGCCUGAUGCAGCAACGCCGCGUGCGGGAUGACGGCCUUCGGGUUGUAAACCGCUUUCGCCUGUGACGAAGCGUGAGUGACGGUAAUGGGUAAAGAAGCACCGGCUAACUACGUG